rnacentral:rRNA from 1 species
GACGAACGCUGGCGGCGUGCUUAACACAUGCAAGUCGAACGAUGAAGCCCAGCUUGCUGGGUGGAUUAGUGGCGAACGGGUGAGUAACACGUGAGUAGCCUGCCCCUGACUCUGGGAUAAGCGUUGGAAACGACGUCUAAUACUGGAUAUGACUACUGGUCGCAUGGCCUGGUGGUGGAAAGAUUUUUUGGUUGGGGAUGGACUCGCGGCCUAUCAGCUUGUUGGUGAGGUAAUGGCUCACCAAGGCGACGACGGGUAGCCGGCCUGAGAGGGUGACCGGCCACACUGGGACUGAGACACGGCCCAGACUCCUACGGGAGGCAGCAGUGGGGAAUAUUGCACAAUGGGCGAAAGCCUGAUGCAGCAACGCCGCGUGAGGGAUGACGGCCUUCGGGUUGUAAACCUCUUUUAGUAGGGAAGAAGCGAAAGUGACGGUACCUGCAGAAAAAGCACCGGCUAACUACGUGCCAGCAGCCGCGGUAA